UGACGUAUUAUUAUAUGUUUAUUAUACUUUUUUAAUUAUAUGAGGAUUUUUUCUUUUUUUUUUUAAAUUAAACAUAAAAAUUUAAAUAUAUUUCAGUAGUCCUGAAAGAAUGAAGAUGAAAGAAAGAAGGAAUACUAUUGAGAGGGAAAGGAGAAUACAGUGGGUGACUUUAAUGAUUUCUCGAGGUUGUUUUAAUAGAGUACGUCUGCCGUUGCAUCAUCACUGUAUACUGGGUGUCCAACUGAUAACAACCGUUGAUAAAUUUUUAAAUAAUUUUGUAGAUUUUCCUUCAGCGAAGUUGUGACAUGCAGUUAUGUACACAUAUCUCUAAAAGGAAAAGAAAAGAAGGAAAAAAUAAAAACAAAAAGGAAGACCAGAGAGAGAGAAAGAGAGAGUGAGAGAGAAAGAAUAUUAAUUAAUCCUAAUAAGUCCAUAUUGCCGGUAAUAUCCAAUGAGAUUAGAUAAUUGGCGGAGGAAAUCCAAUUCAUGGACAUUGCAUGCAUAACAUAUAUCUUUUUUUUUUAUUAUUUUAUUUUACAAAAUAAGUUUAUAAAGUUUCCUUCAUUAUCGUAAGAACAGUUAAUGAUAGUGACAAAACAUUUUGUGUAUAAUAUGCAUUUCAAAAGCCUUUGAAUGAUCUUGUUAGUAAAUUUUAUAAAAAAGAUAACUCGAGAUUUGUCCUAUCAAGUUACUAAAUAUUACUAAAAAUUAUUUUUUAUUUUUUAUAUUACAUAAUUAUUGUAUAAUAUUGAAUAAUACUUAUGAUGCAUGUAUUUUACCAAAUACAUUAAAUAAUAAUUUUUUGAAGAAUGUAAUAGACAAAUAAAAUUAAACUUUCCUUCAAUUAAUUAUAGUUGAAAAUUAUAAGUCUUUAACUUUAAUUAAUAUUUUCUGUUUUAUCUUUUGUUACAUUUUAUAUAUUUUAUUUACAGAACACGUGAUUUUUGAAACUUCGGUGGAAAGAAAAUUUAAGUCCUGUCCUGUUCCUAAGUACUAGUGCCGCAGGAGUGAUUAGGCUGCACGAGACAUUACCGUAUCUCCUGCUGCUCAAGUGCUUAUCAACGGGUCGGGACGCAUGUCAACUUUUAUUCAUGACCUAAGAAGCAAUAAAAGGACUUCGAGUACUUCCGUUUAGUGUUUUUAUUAUAUUAUUUCAAAAAUGUUUUUGAAAAUAAAUUGAUUUCUUUAAUGUAGACAACAUCUAUAUUAAACUUUUGUAAUAUUAUAUAAUAAUAAAUAAUAGUAAUAAUAAAUAGUAAUAAUAAAUGUCAUAAUAAUGCAGUGAUUACUUAACAUAUUAAAAAGCUAGAUGUAUAUUGUAUAUUAAAUUAUUAUAUUAUAUAAGAUAAAAUAUAUGAUAAAUAUUAAUUUAUAAUUUA